UUAACCAGGUUUUCCGAAGGAAAAAACUGGUUAUUAGAUUGGCGAAUGCGGGCGGGCUGGCUGGCUGGCGGGCUGGCUGGCUGGCUGGCGGGCUGGCGGGCUGGCGGGUUGGCGGAAUAAGCUUGUCCGGGCCAUAACUAUGUCGUUCAUUGUCAGAUUUUAAAAUCAUUUGGCACAUUUGUUCACCAUCAUUGGACGGUGUGUCGCGCUAAAUAAUUACGUCGAUAUCUCCAAGGUCAAGGUCACACUUUGAGUUCAAAGGUCAAAAAUGGCCAUAAAUGAGCUUGUCCUGGCCAUAACUAUGUCAUUCAUUGUGAGAUUUUAAAAUCAUUUGGCACUUUUGUUCACCAUCAUGGGACGGUGUGUCCCACGAAAGAAUCACGUCAAUAUCUCCAAUGUCAAGGUCGCCACGACUAAAAAUAGAUUUAAAAAAAAAAAAAAAUUACAAAGGGGGUUAAUUUUUUUUGGUCAUUUCAAAAGUU